rnacentral:rRNA from 1 species
GAUGAACGCUGGCGGCGUGCCUAAUACAUGCAAGUCGAGCGAACGGACGAGAAGCUUGCUUCUCUGAUGUUAGCGGCGGACGGGUGAGUAACACGUGGAUAACCUACCUAUAAGACUGGGAUAACUUCGGGAAACCGGAGCUAAUACCGGAUAAUAUUUUGAACCGCAUGGUUCAAAAGUGAAAGACGGUCCUGCUGUCACUUAUAGAUGGAUCCGCGCUGCAUUAGCUAGUUGGUAAGGUAACGGCUUACCAAGGCAACGAUGCAUAGCCGACCUGAGAGGGUGAUCCGCCACACUGGAACUGACACACGGUACAGACUCCUACGGGAGGCAGCAGUAGGGAAUCUUCCGCAAUGGGCGAAAGCCUGACGGAGCAACGGCGCGUGAGUGAUGAAGGUCUUCGGAUCGUAAAACUCUGUUAUUAGGGAAGAACAUAUGUGUAAGUAACUGUGCACAUCUUGACGGUACCUAAUCAGAAAGCCACGGCUAACUACGU